rnacentral:rRNA from 1 species
UACGAAGGGGGCUAGCGUUGCUCGGAAUCACUGGGCGUAAAGCGCACGUAGGCGGCUUUUUAAGUCAGGGGUGAAAUCCUGGAGCUCAACUCCAGAACUGCCUUUGAUACUGAGAAGCUUGAGUCCGGGAGAGGUGAGUGGAAUUCCCAGUGUAGCGGUGAAAUGCGUAGAUAUUGGGAGGAACACCAGUGGCGAAGGCGGCUCACUGGACCGGUACUGACGCUGAGGCGCGAAAGCGUGGGGAGCAAACAGG